GGCCACAACUGCAGUCUCCGGCGAUUCUCUUUCGACAACUUUAGAAGGAAAUAAAAUGAGCGUGGCUACAGAUGAUUUAUGUACAAAAGCAGGGUUUGUCAAAAACCCCAAUGUGGCCACAAAACAAGCUGCUACAGAAGCCACAAAAGGAGCUUCAACUGGCAGUAAAGAUGAGCCUGCGAUGUCCG